rnacentral:rRNA from 1 species
UCAAGCGCAAAAGGGCAUUUAGUGGAUGUCUUGGCAUUAAGAGACGAUGAAGGACGUGGCAGGCUGCGAUAAGCUAAGGGGAGUUGUCAACAAACUUUGAUCCUUAGAUAUCCGAAUGGGGAAACCCAACUCUUUAGAGUUAUUUAUUAAUGAAUACAUAGUUAAUAAAAGUUAACCUAGUGAAUUGAAAUAUCUUAGUAGCUAGAGGAAAAGAAAUCUAUUCCGUUAGUAGUGACGAGCGAACGCGGACCAGGCCAGUAACAAAUUUAUAAUAACUAGAACUUUCUGGAAAGUAAGACCAUAGUGGGUGAUAGUCCCUUAUAGGUAAAAAGUAAAUUUGUUCUCGAGUAGGGCGGAACACGUGAAAUUUUGUCUGAAAAUGGGGAGACCACUUCCCAAGCCUAAAUACUCCUUAAUGACCGAUAGUGAACCAGUACCGUGAGGGAAAGAUGAAAAGCACCCCGAUAGGGGGAAUGAAAUAGUAUCUGAAACCGAAUGCCUACAAGCAGUCAGAGCUUCCUUGAGAAGUGAUGGCAUACCUUUUGUAUAAUGGGUCAGCGACUUAGUCUGUGCAGCAAGCUUAAGCCGUAAGGUGUAGGCGUAGGGAAACCAAGUCUUAAUAGGGCGUUAGUUGUACGGAUUAGACUCGAAGCGGGAUGAGCUUAAUAUGAGCAGGUUGAAGAUGCAGUAACAUGCAUCGGAGGACCGAACCAGGAAACGUUGAAAUGUUUUUGGAUGACUUGUGUUAAGGGGUGAAAGGCCAACCAAAUUCCGCUAUAGCUAGUUCUCCGCGAAAACUAUUUAGGUAGUGCGUUGUGUGAAUGAUAUCGGGGGUAAAGCACUGGAUGGGCUAGGGGGAAGCGAUUCCUACCAAACCUAACCAAACUCUGAAUACCGAUACUCUAUGCACAGCAGACAGACUAUAGGUGCUAAGGUCUAUAGUCGAGAGGGAAACAGCCCAGAUCACCAGUUAAGGCCCCCAAAUAAUGGCUAAGUGGGAAAGUAUGUAGAAAGUCCAAGACAGGCAGGAGGUUGGCUUAGAAGCAGCCAUCCUUUAAAGAUAGCGUAACAGCUCACUGUUCUAAUUAAGACUUUCCGCGACGAAGAUGUAACGGGGCUCAAGCCAUUUGCCGAAACUGUGACUUUAUAAAUAUUGCGAUAUUUAUAAGGGGUAGCGGAGCGUUCUGUAAGCCGUUGAAGGUGUUUUGAAAGAAAUGCUGGAGGUAUCAGAAGUGCGAAUGCUGACAUGAGUAGCGAUAAAGAGUGUGAGAGACACUCUCGCCGAAAUCCUAAGGUUUCCUGCGUAAAGCUAAUCUGCGCAGGGUUAGUCGACCCCUAAGGCGAGGCAGAAAUGCGUAGUCGAUGGGAAACAGGUUAAUAUUCCUGUACCUUCUGUGAGUUGACGGAUCACGUAAAUAGUACUUUCUUAUUGGAUUGAGAGUGCUGUGAAGUGGUUCCUGGAAAUAGCCACAGAGUAUAGAUCGUACCAAAACCGACACAGGUAGGAAGGUAGAGUAUACCAAGGCGCUUGAGAGAAUGAUGUUGAAGGAACUCGGCAAAAUGCCCUUGUAACUUCGGAAUAAGAGGGACCAAUUUUUAGGCAACUAAGAAUUGGUGGCACAGAAUAGGGAGAAGCGACUGUUUAUCAAAAACACAGGUCUCUGCUAAGUCGUAAGACGAUGUAUAGGGACUGACGCCUGCCCGGUGCCGGAAGGUUAAAUGGUGGAGUGCAAGCUCUAAAAUGAAGCCCCGGUGAACGGCGGCCGUAACUAUAACGGUCCUAAGGUAGCGAAAUUCCUUGUCAGGUAAGUUCUGACCCGCAUGAAUGGCGUAACGAUUUCUCCGCUGUCUCCAACAUCAACUCAGCGAAAUUGAAUUCUCCGUGAAGAUGCGGAGUACGUGUAGUUAGACGGAAAGACCCCGUGCACCUUUACUAUAGCUUUACAGUGGUAUUAGGAAAAUAAUGUGUAGGCUAGGUGGUAGACUUUGAAGCAGAAGCGCUAGCUUUUGUGGAGUCAAAAGAUGAAACACCACCCUUUAUUUUUUUGAUAUCUAACCAUCAUCCAUUAUCUGGAUGUGGGACCCUGUAUGGUGGGUAGUUUGACUGGGGCGGUCGCCUCCUAAAGAGUAAC